GCAUAUGCUAGAAUUUCAGAUUGAUGUCUCUCAAAAUCUCACUGCAUGCUAGUCUGAAACAUUUAUGAACUUGGAAAGUCUUACCUGAUUAGUGCUAUCAAGUGUAGGAUACCCAGGAUAAGUUCAGUAAGCUACUCCUCUGGAAAAAUCUAUUAUCAAGGUCCACAUAAGUCCAUGUGAAAAGAGUUUUAAAAAUCAUGGUAUUUUCCUAAGAGACUCUUAAAUACCCACAACAAACCGGGAGUCGCUGGAGAGGAAGUUGGUGGAGAGAUGGGCUAAAGGGGUGAUGGGACUUGUUGGGAUGAGCACUGCAAUAUAAGAACUUCCUAUGGAGAAAAAUCUGCUGCUCCAGGAGAGAGCCCAAGCGAUUUCAUUGCAAACUUGCAACUUCAAGUGCACAGCAUGUUAAUGUUGUUUCUGCCUCUCUCUAUCCCCAUGGCUGCAGCUUCUUUGGGGGGGCUCAUGUUUACUCAGUCUGCAUGAAUAAACCAUAA